rnacentral:ncRNA from 1 species
AAACGAACAAAGGAGUAGUAAGUUAGCGCGGGUGACAGAGAGCAGGCGGUGGUGCGAGUCUGACGAAGCAAAGACCGAACUGACCUUUGAAGUUGCUGGGGUGAAAUCAGUAGCCACAGCCGGCCGGACCGUUAUCUCCUUUGAGCGCUGUGAAAGCAGAACUUAGGUGGUACCGCGGCUGAGCCGUCCUAAUG